CGUACGGGGACAACAUUCCGAAGGAGUGCUAAUACCGGAUGUGAUCAUCUUGCCGCAUGGCAGGAUGAAGAAAGAUGGCCUCUACAAGUAAGCUAUCGCUAAAGGAUGGGCCUGCGUCUGAUUAGCUAGUUGGUAGUGUAACGGACUACCAAGGCGAUGAUCAGUAGCCGGUCUGAGAGGAUGAACGGCCACAUUGGGACUGAGACACGGCCCAA
rnacentral:rRNA from 1 species